ACGGCCAUACCAUGAUGAAAGCACCGGUUCUCGUCAGAUCACCAAAGUUAAGCAUCAUCGGGCGUGGUCAGUACUUGGGAGGGUGACCACCUGGGAACACUGCGUGACGUU
rnacentral:rRNA from 1 species